rnacentral:lncRNA from 1 species
CUUAAUCAUCUUCAUCUUCGUGGUCUUAAUACCCAUAUUCUCCUGUGACUAUGAUACCUCGAUCACGCCUCCAAUUUUGUGAAUCCCCAACCAAAUCAUCACCUCUUUUUAAAAUACAAACCCCAAGUAUCAAAUAAGCAUUAAUUGAGGAAAAAAUAAAUUAGAACUAGACGGGUAUAAAUAAAUAAGGAGACCUGCGGAAAACUGAAUAUGCGUCGUCUUGAGGCUUGAAGGUGAAAACUAGAGAUGGGACAUUGAUUAAAAUAAAGAUGUGUAAAUUGGGUAUGAGGGUAUAUGGAGUUGGAAUGGUGAAAAGUGAAAAUGGCGAAGGUAUUUUAUGGUGGAC